rnacentral:rRNA from 1 species
GCAGGAAGACGGCCCUCUGGGUUGUAAACUGCUUUUAUCCGGGAAUAAACCCCCUUACGUGUAAGGGGCUGAAUGUACCGGAAGAAUAAGGAUCGGCUAACUCCGUGCCAGCAGCCGCGGUAAUACGGAGGAUCCAAGCGUUAUCCGGAUUUAUUGGGUUUAAAGGGUGCGUAGGCGGCCUGUUAAGUCAGGGGUGAAAGACGGUGGCUCAACCAUCGCAGUGCCUUUGAUACUGACGGGCUUGAAUACACUUGAAGUAGGCGGAAUGU